UGAGUUUUGUUUGAGUCCCUUGACUUGGUCUAAGCUCCUCAGUGUCAUGUGAACAAACCUGAGGAGUUUAGAGCAAGUAAAGGGUCUUUUACCAACUCAUC
ensembl:miRNA